rnacentral:rRNA from 1 species
AAUGAACGCUGGCGGCGCGCCUAAUACAUGCAAGUCGAGUGAGAAGACGUAGCAAUACGUUUGUAAAGCGGCGAACGGGUGAGGAAUACAUGGGUAACCUACCCUAGAGUGGGGAAUAACUAGCCGAAAGGUUAGCUAAUACCGCGUACGCUCCUUGGACUUCGGUUCAGGGAGGAAAGCGAUGCCGAGGGUAUCGCGCUCUUGGAUGGGCUCAUGUCCUAUCAGCUUGUUGGGAGGUAACGGCUCACCAAGGCUUCGACGGGUAGCUGGUCUGAGAGGACGAUCAGCCACACUGGCACUGCGACACGGGCCAGACUCCUACGGGAGGCAGCAGUAAGGAAUAUUGCGCAAUGGGCAAAGCCUGACGCAGCGACGCCGCGGUGGGGGA